CGUUUGUUUCGAUCUGCUGCUGUUUUAGGUCCGGGGAUUGCGGAAUUGGGAUAAAGAUUGGAUUUUUUGGGAGGCUAGGGUUUUGAAUUGGGUGCAAUUGGGCCCUUUUGGGGUCGUGGAUGGGUUGAAUUUUUGAAGUCUGGGCCUUUGGUUGGGACUAUGCUGUUGUGGCUGAAGAUCUCUGUGUUUCACGGUUUGGAUGAUGUUGAAUUUAGGUGGGUCGCCAGACCAUGCUUCCGCAGGGUCUGGACCUAAAAGAUCGAGCGCAUCUUCAGGUGGCCGGCCCCGUGGAUCAUCCUCUUCCAGUCGUAAAGACUUUCUUCGGAAUUUUGUUGAUAGUGAAAUUUUGACAGCGCAUCUAGAAGAUUGGUUGUCAGGAAUAUCAGAAGAGUCAGAUUUCAGAAAGCCUACCUUCGAUGCUCCUUUUAAUCUUACCGAACUGCAAAAUUUUGAUUAUGCACUGGAAAAUGUUACUUUCCAACAAUUGAUUCGGAUGCCAAAUGCUCUCUAUUCGUCGACAUCUGAUGCUAUUGAAGAAACGGCACAUCUUGCCAUUGAAGAUUUUCUGCAUGCUGGUGUCAAAGGCUUGUGGGAGACAUUUUGGGGUCAGGAUACUCCUAUGCCCUUUCAGGUUGCUUGUAUCCAUAGUACAAGUUCCAAAUUCUAUCCUGCUGAGAAGGCUAUUGCCAGUGGAAAGCUCGGAGGCCUUUGUGCAACAGCUAUAUUUCUCAAAAGCAGUCGUAGUUUACAUGGGAGAUGGGAUCAAAUUCUUGAAUUAGCUUUGUUGAGGCCUGAUAUUGGGACUCUUGCAGUGCAACAGAAUGACCAACAGCCUUCUCAUGCUAUUUUAGCGGAAGCAUUGUUCUUUGCUUUACGUGUUUUAUUAUCUCGAAGUCUCAGCAGAUCAACUACCAUACUUCGUAAUUCAAGUUGUGUUUUUGUGUUACUUGUCGAUUCUCAAUACGGUGGGGUGGUAAAAGUGGAAGGUGAUGUAAAUAAAUUGGAUUUUGAUGUUAAUAAUGUGUAUGAGUGUGCUGCAGAUUGGAUUAAAAUCCAUGCCAAAAUCAAUGUUUCUCCUGUUGAUCGGGUCUGGAACAAGUUAGGCAAUUGCAACUGGGGAGAUAUUGGAACUUUACGGGUUCUCCUAGCAACUUUCCACUCUAUAAUUCAGUUUUUUGGAAUGCCCAAGUACUCACUUGAAGAUUUGGCUACAGAACAUGGUUCUCGACUGCAAUACCGAAGAAAAGAGAGGCAACUAGUAAAUUCGCAUGUUAAUGAAAAUGGUUUGUUCCGUUUUCAGCAGCGCAGCAUUUCUCCUGAAAUUGUUGAAGUUCAAGAAGAAUCUGUCAAAAUUGAACCAAGAGAAACCUUAAAGCUAGAAAGAGGAUCAGUAAUAUGGCUCGAGGCUUCUAGCUGGCAAAAGGGUUUCCAGAUAAAUGAAGUUGUAUCCGAUGGCGAGGUCCCAAUAUACAAGGCAAGUCCUGUAGAAGAACAAGGGAAAGCCUUUCUCUUGUAUGUUGGCUCAAGUCCCUCACAUUUAGAGCCAGCUUGGGAAGAUAUGAACCAAUGGUAUCAGGUCCAGAGGCAGACAAAAGUCUUAACUUCGAUGAAACAGAGAGGCCUUUCGAGUAAAUACCUACCUCAAAUUGCUGCAUCUGGACGAAUUAUUCACCCAGGUCAAUGCAAUAAGCCUAAGACUGGAGGAAAUUGCAGCCAUCCUUGGUGUGGGACCCCAAUCCUUGUCACUACUCCAUGUGGCGAACCUAUCACUACUUUGAUAGCUAAUGGUAUGUUCGGUCCUGACGAAGCUCUCAAAUGCUGCCACGACUGCUUGUCUGCGCUCUCAACAGCCUCUUCAGCUGGAAUCAGGCACGGAGAUAUCCGGCCAGAGAAUAUAAUUCGUGUGAGCAAUGGGGCUCGCCAUCCCUUCUUCGUUCUCAUAGGGUGGGGCCACGCGGUUCUUGAAGAUAGAGAUCGGCCAUCGAUGAAUCUUUUCUUCUCUUCUACCUACGCUCUUCAAGAAGGAAAAUUAUGUGCGGCGUCAGAUGCAGAGAGUUUGAUUUAUCUUUUGUAUUCUUCAUGUGGUGGAGUUUUUCCCGAACUAGAUUCAGUUGAAGGGGCUCUUCAGUGGAGAGAAGUAUCAUGGUCAAGACGAGUUAUACAACAGAAGCUCGGGGAUGUAUCUGCUGUCUUGAAAGCUUUUGCUGAUUAUGUAGAUAGUCUUUGUGGGACUCCAUACCCAAUAGAUUAUGAAAUUUGGUUAAGGAGGCUGAGAAGGACAAUGAAUGAAGAAGAUCAUGGGAAGGAGAUUGUUGUCUCAAAUUAAGAUUGUUAGUGGCUUCUGGACGAAAAUUUUGUAGAGUCUGAGCUCCAUUUUGAAUGCAUAAUUUCUCAUUGGUGUUUGAAGUUUGAACCAGAUCCAUACAUUUUCAACGUAAGCAUCAGUUCAGAGACAUGGCUGUAUAGAUUCUUUGAAGGCUACUUCCGAGAGCACCAAAUGUUAGGCUUAUGUGUGUACGUAGCGCCUGGAUGCCACUAGCUGCUAUCCUGCUUCUCUCAGGGAUUUAUGUAACUAGGAAAGAGAUGACACUCAAAUGCUGCUUCAAUUAUUUGGAUCAAUAUGAUGGCUAGAUUGGUUGGUUCAGGUACUAACCGGGAUUCGCUGAUUAUGCUCAGAUUACCGGUCAUCAUUCGAGUGAGUCAGUUGAUACGUCUGGUCCCUGAGGUGUAAAUUUCAGCGCUCACAUCUCAUGAAGUUGGAAGGAAUAUCCUUAUGGCUAUCAGAGCAACUAGAUAGCUCGUGUGGGGGUGAUUUCGGUCAUGCUUUACGUGAUACGAUCGUAAUGGUAUCGACGAACAUGUGGUCGCUGAUAUAUUGCUUUCGUUCUGAAUUUUGUUCUGCGUAUCUGGCUGGUUCUUUCGUCUCUCAUUCUUGGAAAAUUACGUUUUCAAUGUCAUUUUGAGUGCAUGUUGUUAUAUUAUCAUCAUGUUUCGUUAUAAUUUUUCCUUGUGAUCGUGUAAAAAGCCUUUGAGGAAUCGUCAUUACAUCCUUAACACGUAUGUAAAGCUAGCAAGAGAUGCUCUGUAAGUUAUGCGCAGCUGAUGGUGUACUCAAAUGCAGGGAACGGUGAGCUUGUAAAAUUUGGAUAGUGGGUUCAU